AUUGAACGCUGGCGGCAUGCGUAACACAUGCAAGUCGAACGGAAACGAUGGAAGCUUGCUUCCAGGCGUCGAGUGGCGGACGGGUGAGUAAUGCAUAGGAAUCUGCCUAUUAGUGGGGGAUAACUAUCCGAAAGGGUAGCUAAUACCGCAUAAUCUCUUAGGAGGAAAGCAGGGGAUCUUCGGACCUGGUGCUGAUAGAUGAGCCUAUGUCGGAUUAGCUUGUUGGUGAGGUAAAGGCUUACCAAGGCGACGAUCCGUAGCUGGUUUGAGAGGAUGACCAGCCACAUCGGGACUGAGACACGGCCCGAACUCCUACGGGAGGCAGCAGUGGGGAAUAUUGGACAAUGGGGGCAACCCUGAUCCAGCAAUGCCGCGUGUGUGAAGAAGGCCUUAGGGUUGUAAAGCACUUUCAGACGCGAGGAAACGGGUGUAGCUAAUAACUGCGCCAAUUGACGUUAACGUCAGAAGAAGCACCGGCUAACUCCGUGCCAGCAGCCGCGGUAAUACGGGGGGUGCGAGCGUUAAUCGGAAUUACUGGGCGUAAAGCGCGCGUAGGCGGAUUAAUAAGUCAGAUGUGAAAGCCCUGGGCUCAACCUAGGAACUGCAUUUGAAACUGUUAAUCUUGAGUAUGGUAGAGGUAAAUGGAAUUUCCAGUGUAGCAGUGAAAUGCGUAGAGAUUGGAAGGAAUAUCGAUUGCGAAGGCAGGUUACUGGGCCAAUACUGACGCUGAGGUGCGAAAGCGUGGGUAGCGGACGGG
rnacentral:rRNA from 1 species